GUUGAGUCUCACUCUCACGCGGUGGUUAACGUGAAGUGAACUCAAAAAGCUCACCUCAGGAGAUACCCUACGCGCUUCUACGACCGAGGUGAGAAUAUAAAAGAGUUUACCGUGCCCCUCUAAUAGGCUGGUCCAUGGAACCCCCCACCACUGCAGUAGCUAAUCUUUAAUCCACCAAUUGAUCAAAUCUCAAUAGCAUAGCAUGGCAAUUACAUUACUAACCAAUUUAUCAAGGCAAAACAGACAGUUCAUAUUUUUCAACACAAGUAUAAAUUCAGCCAAUCAUGCCAAUUUAUCACAAGCCAUUUAAUUCAAAUCAUAAUUUUACAACACAAGUAGGCAGUCUCCAAUUACUCUAUUUUCGAAACCAGUAUUCGAUUUUUCAGAAAAUUUAUAAAAUUAUUUUAUAAAAUCACAAUUUCUCCUAAAACAUAGCAAUUUACCAUUUAAACCCAUUUU
rnacentral:lncRNA from 1 species